UACACUCCUACGGGAGGCAGCAGUGGGGAAUUUUGGACAAUGGGCGAAAGCCUGAUCCAGCAAUGCCGCGUGAGUGAAGAAGGCCUUCGGGUUGUAAAGCUCUUUUGUCAGGGAAGAAACGGUGAAAGCUAAUAUCUUUUGCUAAUGACGGUACCUGAAGAAUAAGCACCGGCUAACUACGUGCCAGCAGCCGCGGUAAUACGUAGGGUGCAAGCGUUAAUCGGAAUUACUGGGCGUAAAGCGUGCGCAGGCGGUUUUGUAAGUCUGAUGUGAAAUCCCCGGGCUCAACCUGGGAAUUGCAUUGGAGACUGCAAGGCUAGAAUCUGGCAGAGGGGUGUAGAAUUCCACGUGUAGCAGUGAAAUGCGUAGAUAUGUGGAGGAACACCGAUGGCGAAGGCAGCCCCCUGGGUCAAGAUUGACGCUCAUGCACGAAAGCGUGGGGAGCAAACAGGAUUAGAUACCCCAGUAGUCCCAUGAU
rnacentral:rRNA from 1 species